CCCGAAAUGAGAAGAUCUACCUGUUGACUUGUUUUAGAAUAGAAACUUAUGUGGCAAUAUGAGCGUGAGAUUAAUAGGUAGGGGUGAAAUGCUAUUCAAUUCUCAAGAUAUCUGGAAGUCCAAGAAAUGUAUCUAGUACAGGAAAGUGAGAUAUGAGAUGUUCAGGUCUCAUAUUAUAGAGUAAUUAAUAGGAUUUGGUUAGUUUUCUAGGAUUAAAUCCCACGAUAAUAAUUAAUAAACUGAUUUAUUUAUUUAAAUUUCUUUUUGCUAUUGGACCUUUCAUCUAAAUAGGGUGAUGAAUUAAUAAUGUUUAAAUUAGUAAUAAUUGAUAUUAUUUAUAACAAAUUUGGGAUAGGAAAUAUUUAAAAGGAACUCGGCAAAUGUAGAUUUGGACUGUUUAACAAAAACAUAGCCAUUAGAACAUAUUGUAUGGUUUGACCUGCCCAGUGUUAUAGUGAUAAAUGGCCGCGGUACCCUGACCGUGCUAAGGUAGCGUAAUAAUUUGACCUUUAAAUGGGGUCAGGUAUGAAUGGAAGAACCGGGUUUAGCUGUCUCUUAUAGUAUUUUUUUGAAUUUACUAUCUAAGUGAAAAAGCUUAGUUUAUGAAGAGGGACGAGAAGACCCUUAGAAUUUUUUUAAAAGAUUAAUUAUUUGGUCUACGAUUUUAUUGGGGCGAUAAAGAAAGAUCUAGAAACUUUCUUUUUAUACUAGCCGACUAUAUUAAGCGAGAAUAAAUUACCUGAGGGAUAACAGCAUAAUUCUAUAAUUGGGUUUGUGACCUCGAUGUUGGACUAGGAAACCAAUAGGCUAGCCGUUUAUUGUGUUAGGUUCUGUUCGAACUUUUAUUCCUACAUGAUCUGAGUUCAGACCGGCGUAAGCCAGGUCAGAUUCUAUCUUCUUAAUUUAUGGCUUCAGUACGAAAGGACCGAGCUAU
rnacentral:rRNA from 1 species